rnacentral:rRNA from 1 species
UACGGAGGGUGCAAGCGUUAAUCGGAAUUACUGGGCGUAAAGCGUGCGCAGGCGGUUUGUUAAGUCUGUUGUGAAAUCCCCGAGCUCAACUUGGGAAUUGCAAUGGAUACUGGCAGGCUGGAGUAUGGUAGAGGAAGGUGGAAUUCCCGGUGUAGCAGUGAAAUGCGUAGAGAUCGGGAGGAACACCAGUGGCGAAGGCGGCCUUCUGGGUUAACACUGACGCUCAGGCACGAAAGCGUGGGGAGCAAACAGG